rnacentral:rRNA from 1 species
GACGAACGCUGGCGGCGUGCCUAAUACAUGCAAGUAGAACGCUGAAACUUGGUGCUUGCACCGAGCGGAUGAGUUGCGAACGGGUGAGUAACGCGUAGGUAACCUGCCUGGUAGCGGGGGAUAACUAUUGGAAACGAUAGCUAAUACCGCAUAAGAGUAGAUGUUGCAUGACAUUUGCUUAAAAGGUGCAAUUGCACCACUACCAGAUGGACCUGCGUUGUAUUAGCUAGUUGGUGGGGUAACGGCUCACCAAGGCGACGAUACAUAGCCGACCUGAGAGGGUGAUCGGCCACACUGGGACUGAGACACGGCCCAGACUCCUACGGGAGGCAGCAGUAGGGAAUCUUCGGCAAUGGACGGAAGUCUGACCGAGCAACGCCGCGUGAGUGAAGAAGGUUUUCGGAUCGUAAAGCUCUGUUGUAAGGGAAGAACGAGUGUGAGAGUGGAAAGUUCACACUGGGACGGUAUCUUACCAGAAAGGGACGGCUAACUACGU